rnacentral:rRNA from 1 species
UAACGGCGAGUGAAGCGGCAAAGCUCAAAUUUGAAAUCUAGCACUUUCAGUGUUCGAGUUGUAAUUUGAAGAAGGUAACUUUGGAAUCGGCUCUUGUCUAUGUUCCUUGGAACAGGACGUCACAGAGGGUGAGAAUCCCGUGCGAUGAGAUGUCCAAUUCUAUGUAAAGUGCUUUCGAAGAGUCGAGUUGUUUGGGAAUGCAGCUCUAAGUGGGUGGUAAAUUCCAUCUAAAGCUAAAUAUUGGCGAGAGACCGAUAGCGAACAAGUACAGUGAUGGAAAGAUGAAAAGAACUUUGAAAAGAGAGUGAAAAAGUACGUGAAAUUGUUGAAAGGGAAGGGCUUGAGAUCAGACUUGGUAUUUUGUGUUCCUUAUUCUUUUUGGAUUUGGUUCCUCACAGCUUACCGGGCCAGCAUCGGUUUGGAUGGUAGGAUAAUGACAUUGGAAUGUAGCUUUGCUUCGGUGAAGUGUUAUAGACUUUGUUGAUACUGCCUAUCUAGACCGAGGACUGCGUCUUUGACUAGGAUGCUGGCGUAAUGAUCUUAAGCCGCCCGUCUUGAAC